rnacentral:rRNA from 1 species
UGGGGAAUAUUGGACAAUGGGCGAAAGCCUGAUCCAGCCAUGCCGCGUGUGUGAAGAAGGUCUUCGGAUUGUAAAGCACUUUAAGUUGGGAGGAAGGGCAGUAAGUUAAUACCUUGCUGUUUUGACGUUACCAACAGAAUAAGCACCGGCUAACUUCGUGCCAGCAGCCGCGGUAAUACGAAGGGUGCAAGCGUUAAUCGGAAUUACUGGGCGUAAAGCGCGCGUAGGUGGUUUGGUAAGAUGGAUGUGAAAUCCCCGGGCUCAACCUGGGAACUGCAUCCAUAACUGCCUGACUAGAGUACGUUAGAGGGUGGUGGAAUUUCCUGUGUAACGGUGAAAUGCGUAGAUAUAGGAAGGAACACCAGUGGCGAAGGCGACCACCUGGACUGAUACUGACACUGAGGUGCGAAAGCGUGG